CUCUCAAAGAACUUAUUUUGAGUAAAAUCUGCUCACUGUUUAUAUAAAUAGCCGCAGAAUUUACUGUGCUAAGGUAGCAUAAUCACUUGUUUCCUAAUUAGAGACUAGAAUGAAAGAUUUAACAUUUUAAUUACUUUCUUAUUUUAACAAAUAAAAGCUAUAUUAAAUAUAAAAAUAUAUUUAUAAAAAAAAUAGACGACAAGACCCUUUCGAACUUAACUUAUGUUUAGCUGGGGCAGCUACUUAAACAAAAUUUUAAUUUCUAUAAAAUUUAAAAUGACCUAAUUUCAUUAAAUAAAUGAUCAAGUUACCGAAGGGAUAACAGCAUAAUAAAAUUUUAAAGCUCUUAUUUAAAAUUUAGUUUAUGACCUCGAUGUUGAAUAUUUUUCUUAAAAACGCAAUAGUUUUAAAAGAAAGUCUGUUCGACUUUUAAAUUUUUACA
rnacentral:rRNA from 1 species